ensembl:lncRNA
CUGCUAGGAACAAGUGUUUAAAACAUUCACGGAUCUUUACAACUCCUUCCAUCAAUAAAGUUCUAGGCACAAAACAAACAUUGACAUCUUUCUCCUCUGAGCUAUCAUCAAACUUUAUUAUUACAUCUCUUCUUUUUUUUUAAGAUUUAUCUAACACUGACUCUGUGCCAAGCACUGUUCCAAGUGCAAUGCAUACCGUGACUCAAUUUAUCCUCACCACAAGCCCAUGAGGCAAGUACUUUAAUGGUCUGGUUCCCAGAUGAGCCAACUGAAGCAGAGAGGUUAAGUAACAUGCCCAAAGUCACCGAGUCCUGAGUUGCCUUUGCAAUUUCCCAUAAAGAGUGGCAGAAUAGAUGACCAUCCUCCCAGCCCAGGAAAUUCUUCAUAUACUUUAGAUAUAGAGUUGCAUAAAAUUAAAAAGCAUUAUUUAUACAUAUUUAAUUGUAAGUUGAACCUAACCGAUAGAGAAAUACACCAAUAAAAUUCUUCACAAUGAUCAGUCUCGGGGAUAACAGCACUUUGCCUCUCCAUCUUCAUCUCCGCUGAAAGAGUUCAAAUCUCUUUGCAAUUAUCAAUUAAUUACACAUCAAUAUUCCUCAGAGGCUAGGCAUUACAGUUAUGAUCUGUUUUAUGGUUAUUUUAUAGCCAUUAAUAGUAAUGAAAAUAAGAACAGUUUCAUGUACUAUACAAUGCAUCACGUAGAGAACAGAAUUAGACACGGUCAUUGUUCAAAGGUUUAAAAUAGAAACUAAAUUUCUAAGAAAUGAUUUAGUAUUUCAUUAUUAGUAACAAUACUUCAAAUUUAUAGAGCAUCUUAUGUUUAAAAGCUUUUCAUGUGUGGUCAAUAGAGCAAACGGAAUCCGCAGCCAGUCAGAUUUGAAUUCAGAUUCUGGUUUCAGCUCUAAUACUGCUCUGGGUGUAAUUUUUAACUGUUUCAUUUUAUUUGAAGUCAUUGAUUCAUAUAGUGGAAAUUCAAAAUUUACAGACUUACAGAAAAAAAAAAUCUCCCCAACUCAGCAGCCUACCUUCUGCUUAGCAACCCACCUCCUCUCCUUGGAGGUAGAACAAAGUUAACACCUUCUUGAUCUCCUUCUACGGGUACUGUAUGCAUAUACGGUACAAGCAAAUGGCACAUACAAUCUUGUACCAUUUUAUACAAAUGAUAGCAUUCUAGACUUAACAGAAAGUUGGAGCUACAGUCCCCUCUCCUGUGAAAGGGCGGUGAGGAGAGACAUCAGAGGUUUAUGAAAACGCCCAAGCCCAGCACCUGGCAUGGAGUUAGCACUCAAUAAAGACAGUGUCCCUUUUCUUACCCAUAAAAAGGCUGUGCAGUAAGGGGUCUUUAGCGCGCCUAAAACUCAUCCAGGGCUUGUUGACCACAGACUGCCUCCCUGCACCCCACUCCAGUUUCCAUUUGGAAGGUCUGGGGUACGCCCUACAUCUGCAUUUCCAGCGAGCUCCCUGAAGCUGCAAAUGCUGCUGGUCAGGGAGCCAACUGGGAACCUCAAGGCAUAGUGGGGACUGAGAUGCCCUAGAUUCCCACGCAGGUUGGGCCACCGGGGCAAAUUACGCUCUGAGCUUCAGUUUUCUUUUUUUCAUACACAAAUGAGACAACUCCCAUGUCAAAGGCUGUUGUGCAGAUUAGAUAAGAUAAAGCACGUGCGCGGGCGUUGCUCAUGGCAAACGCUCACGAAAUGCAACGUGAAAGGGACGUGGAACCGCUAGGAAGGUGGGGGAAGGCAGGGCAAACAGGAACCCGCGGGCCAGAGAAGGGGGCGGGCCUGCCCACCCCGGGGACCAGGCUGGCGUUCGCUGUCCCGGCCGAGCGCAGACCCCACACCUGCGAACCGAGGCUGGGGACGCCCGUUGGAAAGUCCUGAAACACAAAGCACCGCGUCCCAAAAGCCCCUCGACGCAACCCUACGGCGCUUACUGUUUGGACUGCGUGUAAAGAGGGGCGGCCCCUGGUUGCUCCGGACUGAACACGUGGGCGCAGCGGCCGGCCCGCCCCGCAGCCGCGCGGACGUGCUGCGGGCAGCGCGGGCCAUGGCGCAGCGGCGGGCGCGGCCGGAGCCCUGCGGCCCGCCACGAGGGGGCAGCCGUGCGUCUGCGCGCCGCGGCCGGCUGGAACCGGUCUAGCCGGAAGCUGGGGCGGUGCCUCGGCUUCCGCAGUGACGCGCCACGUGGCCGGGUGGCAGGGACCGGGGGGGAAAACAACAAGAUGGCGGCGGCGGGGGCGGGGCUUUGAGGCCGCGUGCCCCUUGAAGGGCGGUGGUCGCGGGGAAGAGCUGGAUGAGCUGAGUGAUGCUGGGGGGCAGGGGCGACGUGGUGCGCUGUCCCUUUGUCCCGCCGCGGAGCCGCGGGGCGCGGGCAGCCGUGCGAGGCAGUGCGGCCCUGGGCACCCCCCGGGGGUCACCGCGGCCCCAAGCUGCUCAGUCCGGGCCGGGUCCCCUUUGUCCCUGCGGACUGGGACCGCAGAGACACCUUCCUCGGUCUGGAGGGAGAGGUCAGGUGCUGCCGGUGGAGCGGGCGAGUCCUGGAUGGACCGAAAUGCAUCCUCUCCUCUCUUGCCAGCACUUUGGUCCCCGCUUCCUGCCUUUGUUCCAAGGGUUGGCCCUGACUCCCUCUGGCUGGAGGGAGAACCCCCGGUGAUACAGGCUUGCAAGCAGCGUCCCCGCCUUCGCCCGGGGCUGCGGGCUUCUGCGUGCCUUGCUCGCGGGAGCUGCGCUGCGACCGCGAAGGUGCGGCCGAGCCCCCGGUUCUCUUGUUUGACGUCAGGCCACCUUGGCCGUGGUUUCGGAAGGAAAAGUGCAGACGUCGGGUGUGGUGUAUUGUCAAGGGCGGGAGGUGGGACAGCAAGCGCGGGCGCGGCGUGUUGGCUGUCCCACCAUGGCCGGCGAGUCCCCGCACGUCCCUGGGGCUGGAGCCAGAAGACCGGGCGCUGCGGGCGCCGGGACAGCGGCCUUCAUUGUCCUUCUUCGCCACCGUUUCGUUUUACACGAGUUUGAGACGCAAGCGAGGCAGUGGGGUUUCACUUCAGACUCGUCCAUCAUUUUGCAAAGAACGCUGAACGGAGUUUCCAAAGGAUGCUGUAACCUGGAGGAUAAGGACCCUCCCUCCCCUCAGCCUGGGAAAAGAGUGCGGUUUCCUUCAUACAGCCUUUCCUCUAAAGGAGCCUGCCGCAUUGUGUCCUUAUAUUUUGCAGUGAAUACCCCUUUUUUUGGUCUCCUUUUGUACUCAUAAUUCAAAAAGAAUCUCGGGCAACUUUUUCUGCAAAUGCCACUGAGCACAAGAAUUAUAGAGCAUCCUCAGCCCUUAAGUUGUUUGCCUCUAGAAUUUCAUUAGCACUGCCUUCCUGUUGAAAUGAGAAAAUGUAUUUUAAAAUUAAAAUAUCAUUAUAGCAAAUUUGAUUUUUUUUUAAAAACCAGAAAAGUAAUGAGAAGAAAAAAGAAACUGUACUCCAAUAAUUCAGAGAUAUUUGUCCUUCUUGGCAUAGAUUUGUUUGUUUGGGGGGAUUAUGUUGUAUGUACAAUUUGGUACCUUCUUAACUUUUAAAAAUAUGUUGUUUUAGUUCAUAUUACUAAAGUAAAUUAUGUUCAAAAGAAAACAUGGAAAGUACAGAAAAAUAGAAAGAAAAAACAUCACCCCGAAUGCCAGUACCAAGGAAGAAACACUAUUAAACAAAUUGUAUGUCUGUAUUUGUCUUAAAAUAACACCAUACCUCAUUUUGUAACCCACAUUUUGUAUUUAACCAUGUAUAAUGGGCAUUUUCUUAUGUCAAAUAAAAAUCUUUAUGAUUUUUAGAGUCUGCAUAAUAUUCUAUCAGAUGAAUUAACCAUAACAGUUCUCUUACUAUUGGACACCAAAUUUGUUUGCCGUGUUUUGCUGUGAUAGAUAAUGUUGACAUGACUACUUCUCUACAAAAAGCUUUUAACAUAUUUCUGUAAAAUAAGGUUUACAAUGAAUGUGAACUUUUUAUGUUUAUUGAGACAUAUUUGACUCCCCAAAUUGCUGAGUUAAUGGCGUUCCAUCUUGAGCCUUCUAAUGACUGUGCAUCAGCAUUCCACCUGAGGUCAAGUCUCUUCUACUUUGCCCUCACUUUUCAAAAUUUUUUUUUGAAAAUUAUAAAUCAUAUAUUCUAAGUAUAUUGUUUUCUAUAUGGAGGUGUGCCUAAUAACUAC